rnacentral:rRNA from 1 species
AGUGAACGCUGGCGGUAGGCCUAACACAUGCAAGUCGAACGGCAGCACAGUAAGAGCUUGCUCUUACGGGUGGCGAGUGGCGGACGGGUGAGGAAUACAUCGGAAUCUACUUUUUCGUGGGGGAUAACGUAGGGAAACUUACGCUAAUACCGCAUACGACCUACGGGUGAAAGCAGGGGAUCUUCGGACCUUGCGCGAUUGAAUGAGCCGAUGUCGGAUUAGCUAGUUGGCGGGGUAAAGGCCCACCAAGGCGACGAUCCGUAGCUGGUCUGAGAGGAUGACAGCCCCCACGGGAACUGAGACACGGCCCACCCUCCUCCGGGGGGCGGCAGGGGGGAAUAUUGGACAAUGGGCGAAGCCCUGACCCACCCCUCCCGCGUGGGUAAAGAAGCCCUUCGGUUUGUAAAGCCCUUUUGUGGGGAAAGAAAAGCAGCAGGUUAAUCCCCCGCUUUUCUGACGGUACCAAAAAAAAAAGCCCCGGCUAACUUCGUG